GACUCGACUUCGAUCCGAGUGGUUAGAGCUUCCGCCUCGGACGUGGGAGGUCGUGGGUUUGAUCUCCGGUCGAGUCA